GUCCACAUGGUCGGCUUUAUGUGGUCUGGCCUGCCCACUGAUGUUUAAAUUAAAGGGCCGCGGUAUUUUGACCGUGCGAAGGUAGCAUAAUAAUUAGUCUCCUAAUUAGAGGCUUGUAUGAAUGGUCGGACAAGAUGAGAACUGUCUCCAUACAAAAAAUAAAAUUUAAUAUUUAAGUAAAAAAGCUUAAAUAAGAUGGAGGGACGAUAAGACCCUAUAAAGCUUUAUAGUGUAAUUAUUUAAUAUGAAAUAUAUUAACUUGAAAUUAUUUAAUAAAAAGCACUAUUUUACUGGGGCGGUAAAAGUAUAACUUAAACUAACUGCUUUUAUUUUUAAGAACAAUUAUAAUUGAAUAUAAAUUGAUCCAUUAUUAAUGAUCACAAGAACAAGUUACUUUAGGGAUAACAGCGUUAUUUUUCUUGAGAGUCCUUAUCGAAAGAAAAGUUUGCGACCUCGAUGUUGAAUUAAGGGUCACCUUAAGGUGCAGCAAUUUAAAGGUGAUCUGUCGAUUUUA
rnacentral:rRNA from 1 species